rnacentral:snoRNA from 1 species
AAGACUAUACUUUCAGGGAUCAUUUCUAUAGUUCGUUACUAGAAAAACUAAUGAUGUAAUAUAUAGUUAUUAACAUA